rnacentral:rRNA from 1 species
UGACCUGGCGGCAGGCUAACCAUGCGAGUCGAGCGGAUGAGAAGAGCUUGCUCUUCGAUUCAGCGGCGGACGGGUGAGUAAUGCCUAGGAAUCUGCCUGGUAGUGGGGGACAACGUUUCGAAAGGAACGCUAAUACCGCAUACGUCCUACGGGAGAAAGCAGGGGACCUUCGGGCCUUGCGCUAUCAGAUGAGCCUAGGUCGGAUUAGCUAGUUGGUGGGGUAAUGGCUCACCAAGGCGACGAUCCGUAACUGGUCUGAGAGGAUGAUCAGUCGCACUGGAACUGAGACACGGUCCAGACUCCUACGGGAGGCAGCAGUGGGGAAUAUUGGACAAUGGGCGAAAGCCUGAUCCAGCCAUGCCGCGUGUGUGAAGAAGGUCUUCGGAUUGUAAAGCACUUUAAGUUGGGAGGAAGGGCAGUAAGCGAAUACCUUGCUGUUUUGACGUUACCGACAGAAUAAGCACCGGCUAACUCUGUGCCAGCAGCCGCGGUAAU